AACGCUGGCGGCGCGCUUAACACAUGCAAGUCGAGCGAGAACCGGAGCUUCGGCUUCGGGGACAGCGGCGAACGGGUGAGUAACACGUGGGUAAUCUGCCCUCGGUUCUGGGAUAGCCCGGGGAAACCCGGAUUAAUACCGGAUAGCCUCUCUGGCCCUCGGGCCGGCGAGAAAAGGUAGCUUCGGCCUCCGACUGAGGAUGAGCCCGCGGCGGAUUAGCUUGUUGGCGGGGUAACGCCCACCAAGGCGA
rnacentral:rRNA from 1 species